rnacentral:tRNA from 2 species
GCGCCCUUAGCUCAGCUGGAUAGAGCGUUGGCCUCCGGAGCCAAAGGUCAGAGGUUCGAAUCCUCUAGGGCGCGCCA